rnacentral:rRNA from 1 species
UACGUAGGGUGCGAGCGUUGUCCGGAAUUAUUGGGCGUAAAGAGCUUGUAGGCGGUUUGUCGCGUCUGCCGUGAAAAUCCGGGGCUCAACCCCGGACUUGCGGUGGGUACGGGCAGACUAGAGUGUGGUAGGGGAGACUGGAAUUCCUGGUGUAGCGGUGAAAUGCGCAGAUAUCAGGAGGAACACCAAUUGCGAAGGCAGCUCGCUGGGACGGUACUGACGCUGAGGCGCGAAAGCGUGGGGAGCAAACAGG